UACGAAGGGGGCUAGCGUUGCUCGGAAUCACUGGGCGUAAAGGGUGCGUAGGCGGGUCUUUAAGUCAGGGGUGAAAUCCUGGAGCUCAACUCCAGAACUGCCUUUGAUACUGGCGAUCUUGAGUCCGGGAGAGGUGAGUGGAACUGCGAGUGUAGAGGUGAAAUUCGUAGAUAUUAGGAAGAACACCAGUGGCGAAGGCGGCUCACUGGCCCGGUACUGACGCUGAGGCGCGAAAGCGUGGGGAGCAAACAGG
rnacentral:rRNA from 1 species